UGACGGUACCUGACUAAGAAGCCCCGGCUAACUACGUGCCAGCAGCCGCGGUAAUACGUAGGGGGCAAGCGUUAUCCGGAUUUACUGGGUGUAAAGGGAGCGUAGACGGCUUUGCAAGUCUGAAGUGAAAGCCCGGGGCUCAACCCCGGAACUGCUUUGGAAACUGCAUAGCUAGAGUGCAGGAGAGGUAAGUGGAAUUCCUAGUGUAGCGGUGAAAUGCGUAGAUAUUAGGAGGAACACCAGUGGCGAAGGCGGCUUACUGGACUGUAACUGACGUUGAGGCUCGAAGGCGUGGGGAGCAAACAGGAUUAGAUACCCUG
rnacentral:rRNA from 1 species